GAAAGCGGCAAUGCUGUUUCUGGGUUUUUUAGGCAGAGCAGUUUUAAUGAUGACUGUGAUUUCAAUUUUUGGAUGUAAUAGAGUAAAGGGUCAUCGGGUUCUUUUGGAUACAGACAUGGGUACUGAUGAUAUCUUUGCUCUAUUAUACCUUUUGAAGCUUAGCCCAUCCCAAAUCGACUUGCAGGCAGUAACUGUUAGCACAAAUGCAUGGAGUGAUGCAG
rnacentral:misc_RNA from 1 species